rnacentral:lncRNA from 1 species
GAGAGAGACUUUUACUGAUGUUAUAUCAUAUCAAUAAUCCAACUUUGAAAAUAAUCUGUACACUAACACUAAAUGUUCAACUAUUCAGAAAUGUCUGUUGUUCACUGUUCUAUAGUUCCUUAAGUUCGCCUGUAUGCAACUUAUUUUCAGGCACCGUGUUACACAAUUACCAUCAAUUGGCUGUCAUUGUUGUCCAUCGCCUCUGUCAGUCGUCCCAAUGGGAUGAGUUGUGUUCUCAUUGUUAUUCUGCAUUUUCAUUUUUAUUCAUUCCUGUAACAAUAUUAACUUCUUGUUGGCUCUACUGAUCAAUUCUAUCCUCUCUCUCCUUUGAUACAGAACUGGUAUUUACAGCAUUAAUCAUUUCAACGAAUAAGGAACAACUGGGAGAGCCUUUGUCAUGAUUAAA